GGUCAUUAUAAUUAUUUUACAAAGUACAUUGUACUUUAUGAAUGUACUGAAACUCCCUGGGGAGAGGAUGAUCGAUUGAGGGUCAAUAGCAUGUUUGGCCAUUUCCGACGAGGGGUAGUGCACAGUGCGGCGCGGUCCCGUUCCAGUUAAUAGACGAAAUGAUGAAUACACUAGAAGUUAAUCUGGACAGUUAAUCUUUCCAUUGUGCAGUGGCUACUCGGCUUUUGUUAAUAUGAUAGAUUGCUUUUUCAUUAAGAUGUUUCAGUCAUUUUACGUAAUAAAUUGCCUCUCUCGUCUCCCCUCCCCUCCCCCCACCCCUAGCCGGCCGUCUCUCGUUUCAGCUUUGACUUUUUUCCAUCUCGUGCUUUUUCCUGCCCCGAGUCUGAUUUGUAGCCUUUGUAGCGACAGGGAUUGGAUUUAACAGGCUGCGCCUCGCCUUAUCCCUUUGAGACGAUCAAAUAAAAGGGCCACCGUCGUGCGGGUGCCUUUGUGAGCAAACUGUGAUCCGAUCCGAAUUUGUACGACUAAUGGAGCUUUUAAUCAAACCUCGAGAAAUCUCGCCAUUAUUAUACGGAAGACUUGGUUUUUAGUCACACUUGUUCCCAUAGUCUUAGAACGUGCAAACGUGGGCUACAGCAAUGCAUAAGCGUGAGCUAAAAAGUAAUCUUCCUGGAGAGCAUCUACCGAACUUUGACACUAUACCUUGAAAGCCUUUUGUUCUCCUUUUCGUUUCUUGUUUUCGACUCGCCACUUGCAUCCAUCGAAAUAAUAUAGGUCUGCCCAAUGUAUGCAAAACAAUAUGUUGACUAUUCUUUUCGUGAUUAAACAUGGUUGUGUUUUCCACGGGUCUUUUGGAAACCUCCUGGGUCUUGAAAUUAACUUGGGUGCAAUUUUCGAGAGUAAUUGACAAAUUCUGGAAGAUGGGGAUAAUAUCGAGAUACUUGUUGGUUAUUUGUGGUGGUUUCUUCGGUGCGAUGUUCAUGAGAGAGAAUAGUGGCUUAAUGUAUUUAUUUACGCAAGAAUCUUUCUUGGAUUAACAAGUGUUGAC
rnacentral:lncRNA from 1 species